GAGCAAGCGUUAUCCGGAUUUACUGGGUGUAAAGGGCGUGUAGGCGGGAAAGCAAGUCAGAUGUGAAACCCAGUGGCUCAACCACUGGCCUGCAUUUGAAACUGUUUUUCUUGAGUGAUGGAGAGGCAGGCGGAAUUCCGUGUGUAGCGGUGAAAUGCGUAGAUAUACGGAGGAACACCAGUGGCGAAGGCGGCCUGCUGGACAUUAACUGACGCUGAGGCGCGAAAGCGUGGGGAGC
rnacentral:rRNA from 1 species